rnacentral:lncRNA from 1 species
UCCGGUCCGGUCCCGGUUUAUACCGGGCCGGUCCGGUUCGGUCCCGGGUCAACCCGGACCAGUUGACAGGUUUAGUUUGGAACUGUUUUAGAGCUGCUUGGUCGAGGUUUUUAGCUCGUUUUUGGGCCGUUUUUGCCGCUUUUGGGCUGAUUUUUGCUGAGCUUUCAUGGAGGCUUCAAAGUGUCACGACCCCAGCUCGCCCUCCGUGAAAAUGUCGUGAUAAAACGCCUAGUUCCUGCGACUAGGUAAGCCUAAUGAUGCGGAAAACAACAUGACUUGUGGAAAUAAUUAAUCAAAACUGAACAACUAAAAAAACUGUAUAUAAAUGCCACUCGGCAUAUACAACUCAAUAAUUCGGAAGUCUACAAUAUCACCCCAAAAUUCGAAAACUCACCGGGACACAAGCUAGAAAAAUGCAGUAAGUUCUCCAAUCUCCAAAAAUGUCUAUAGCAAAAAUAUGAUAGAAGGUUAAACACUACAAGAUAGAGUAAAGAAGCUCGAAGUUUCCUUAGCUCUCCCUACCUCAAGGAUAAUGCGCCUGGCUGGAGGUACCUGGAUCUGCACAUGAAAAACAUGCGCAGAAGGGACAUGAGUACACUACAACGGUGCUUAGUAAGUGUCAAGCCUAACCUAGGUCGGGUAGUGACGAGGAAGGUCAGGACCCUAUUGAGAUAAAACAUAAUAAAUGAUAGGGUAAAGAAAGAGUAUAUAUAAAGUCUACAACGAGAAUCUAAACAGGAUAAUUAAGGGAUACAGUAGUAGAAAGCAGAAAUAAGAAAAUACAAGGAAAUACCUCUACAACAGGAAAUAAUAAUCGCGGAUCUUUUGGUAUUCUGAAGAUCUCCUGGUACCCUCAAUAUAUACAAAUACAUGUGUAGGGGAUCUUUUGGUAUCCUCAAUAUAUAAAAAUACCUCUGCCGGGGAUCUCUUAGUAUCCCGAGAAUCUCUCGGUAUCCUCAAUAUAUACAAAUACAUGUGCCGAAGAUCACUUGGUAUCCCGAGGAUCUCUUGGUAUCCUUAAUAUAUACAAAUACAGAUGCCAGAGAUCUCUUGGUAUCACAAGGAUCUCUUGGUAUCCUCAAUAUAUACAAAUACAAGUGUCGGGGAUUUGUUGAUAUCCCACACUCUCAGCUCGGGUCAUAACACGUGCAGGGGAAUCUCCCGGGAUGCCUUCCCAUAGUCCCAAUUUAAAAACGCAUAAUAACUGCUCAAGAAUGUCAGAAUAUAUGCUAAACUCAUAACAAGUAUUAGUAAGUUCUAGCCUAACAUGCUCCACGAAAUACAAAUAAGGCAGUUAAAGAAAAUAGCCAAAUAGGUCAACUAGAGUUUUUUUUUCAAAUUUACAUAGGUUAAGUUUGCAAUUAGAGUAAACUCGAGUAAACAGGAAACCCAAUUUAAAUACUUUAAGUAAAAUCAGAUUUUUCAACAAUUAGCUCAAGUACACACACGUCACCUCAUGUACAAGGUAUUCAAUUACCAAAUAUCACUUCCUAAGGGGAAACGUCCCCGCCAUAAGGUUAGAGAAGCUACUUACCUUAAACCAGCUCUAAAAUCAACUCGAAAUCACACUUUUGACUUGCGUAUCUGACUCCAAAUGGCCCAACUCUAUUCAAUUUAAUUACAUAUCAUAAGUAACAUCUCAAACAACUGAUUUCACUAUUUAAUUCAAAGCUAAGACGCAAAAGUAGGUAAAAUACAGGCCAGCGUCUCGAAAUCGGGUGAAACUUAUAUUUCAGAAAACUCAUACUUUCACGAGUCUAUACAUAACAAGAACAUAAAAAUCAAAGUUCAAAUGACCCCUCAAAUCCCAACUUAAAAUUCAAAAAUCUCAAACCCUAAUUCUUCCCUUUUCAAAUAAAUGCCAUGAUUUUCUAGGCUAAUUUCACAAUGAGAUCACGCUUUUAGUUCAUAGAACUCACCUCCAAUCAAUCCUCCUCGAAUCCCUCUUCAAGUAGCCCAAAUAGCUCUCAACAUACUCAAAAAUGGAGGAAAAAUGACUUAGGCUCGCGGAUGAAAUGUUUAUAACCUUCUUUCCAGUCCAAGCAAAUCCUUCAUCGCGAUCGCGACCAUGGUCACGCAAUCGCAAAGCAUUAAAAUCCAAGUCUCCGAAAAUUACCUAUGCGAACGCGACCAAACACACGCGAACACGAUACCUAAAUUUCCACAACUGCGCGAACUUGUCCCACUCUAUGCAAACACGAAUAACAAAUCUCCCUGGGCUCCAAAGUCUUCUACGCGAGCGCAAACUAGCACCUGCGAACGCGAAGCACAAAGAACUCACCAUGCGUGAUAGUGAACACUCUAGCACGAAUGCGAAAAACAAAACUUAGCCUGCCAAAAUCCUUCUUGCAAUCGCGGCCCUAGGCUCGCGAUCGCGAAGGCCAAAACACAGUUGCACUGCUGCUGCAAUUUUCUGCAAUUCCAUAAGUCUCAAAACUUCCUGUUAGCCAUCCGAAAUCACCCUGAGACCCCCGAGACCUCAACCAAAAGUACCAACACAUCCUAAAACCUCACCCAAACUUGUUCCCAUCCUUAAACCACCUAAAACAACGCCGGAAACUCAAAUUAAUCAAUGAUUCAUGCCUAAGAACUUCAAAUUCUCUAAAAACACCUUUUCUAUCAAAAACCUUACCUAACCACGCCCCAAUUACCUGAAAUUUUGCACACACAUCCCAAAUGACAUGACUGAGCUAUUGCAACUUUCAGAAUACCAUUCUGACCCUCGGAAAAAAAUCUCCCCUAUCAACCGUAAACUUUGAGAUUUCAAGACUAAAUUAGCUACGGACCUCAAAAACACAUUCCGAACAUGCUCCCAACCUGAAAAUCACCUAACGAAGCUAACGGAAUCAUCAGUUUCCAUUCCAAGGUCGUCUUCACAUUGUUCAGACUAGGGACAACUUUCUAACACUUAAGCUCUUAAUUUGGGACUAAGUGUCCCAAAAAGUCUCCGAAACUCAAAACUGUAUGUCCCGACAAAUCCAAUAAGUAGAUUUAACUUGGGAAAAGUAGUUAAUAUGGAAUUGGGGCAUUACUUCUUAAGGCUAUAGCCCGGGUCGUCACAUCAUCCUACACUUAAACAUUCGUUCAUCCUCGAAUGAGCAUAAGGAGAUACCUGAAGUAGUGAAAAUGUAAGGGUCAUUGCUGCGCAUAUCCUGCUUGGUCUCCCAGGUCGCCUCCUCGGAGGGUGACCCUGUUGCUGAAUCUUUAUUGAAGUAAUGUUCUUUGACCUCAACUUUUGGAUCUGCCUGUACAAUAUAGAAACUGGCUCCUCCACAUAAGAUAGAUCCUUGUCUAGUUGGACUGAAUUGAAAUCCAACACGUGCGAAGGAUCACUGUGAUACCUCUGAAGCAUAGAAACAUGAAAUACCGGGUGAACCCCUGCCAGGCUAGGAGGUAAGGCAAGCUCAUAAGUAACCUCCCCAACAUGCUUAAAUAUCUCAAAAGGGCCAAUGAACCUUGGACUCAACUUCCCUUUCUUCCCAAAUCUCAUGAUGCCCUUCAUAGGCAAAACUCAGAGAAGAACCCGCUCUCCAACUAUAAAGGAAACAUCACGAACCUUCCCGUCCGCAUAGCUCUUUUGUCUAGACUGGUUGUACGGAGUCUAUCCUGAAUUACAUUGACCUUCUCCAAAGCAUCCUGAACUAAAUCUUUGCCCAAUAGUCUGGCCUCGCCCAGGUCGAACCAACUCACUGAAGAUCUACGCCGCCUACGAUACAAGGCCUAAUACGGUGCCAUCUGAAUGUUAAACUGAUAGCCAUUGUUGUAAGAAAACUCUACCAGUGUCAAGAACUGGCCCAAGAUCCUCCAAACUCAAUCACGCACGCAUGGAGCAUAUCUUCAAGAAUCUUAAUAGUGCGCUUGGACAGCCCGUCCGUCUUGGGGGUGAAAUGAUGUGCUCAACUCCACCCGAGUACCCAACUCCUGAUGAACGGCCCUCCAGAACCGUGAUGUGAACUGAGUAUCUCUGUCUGAAAUAAUAGAAACUGGAAUACCAUACAAACGGGUAAUCUCCCAUAUAUAAAUCUCUGCUAACCGCUUUGAAGAAUAAGUGGUACACACAAAAAUGGAAUAAGCGGACUUGGUCAGCUGAUCCAUAAUAACCCAGAUAGCAUCAAACUUCUUCAAGGUCCAUGGGAGUCCAACUACAAAGUACAUGGUGAUCUGUUCCUACUUCCACUCGGGGAAUCUCUAUCUGCUGAACCAACCCACCUUGUCUCUAGUGCUCGUACUUCACCUGCUGGCAGUUGAGGCAUCUGACUACAUAUCCCACUAUAUCCUUCUUUAUCCGCCUCCCCAGUAGUGCUGCCUCAAGUCCUGAUACAUCUUCACGGUACCUAGAUGGAUGGAAUAUUCUGAACUGUGGGCCUCCUAUAGAACCAGCUCCCGUAGCCCAUCGACAUUAGGUGCACAAACCCGACCCUGCAUCUUCAAUACUCCAUCCUCGCCAAUGUUCACAUCUCUGGCAUUAUCAUACUGAACCCUAUCCUUAAGGACAAGCAAAUUAGGGUCAUCAUAUUGCCGCUCCCUGAUAUGAUUAAAUAAUGAAGACCAAGAAACCAUGCAAGCUAGAACCCGACUAGAAUGGCUGUCCAGAGGCUGAACAUCCAUCACCAUAGGCCUCUUCGAUACUGGUAGAUAUGCCAAACUCCCCAAACUCUCUGCCCUGCAACUCAAGGCAUUAACUACUACAUUAGCCUUGCCUGGGUGAUACAAAAUAGUGAUAUCAUAAUGCUUUAGCAACUCCAACCACCUCCUCUGGCGCAAAUUUAGAUCCUUCUGCUUGAACAAAUGCUGAAAACUCCUAUGAUCAGUAUAAAUCUCACAAGGCACGCGCGUAUAGAUAAUGACGCCAAAUCUUCAGGGCAUGAAUAAUGGCAGCUAACUCAAGAUCAUGGACAGGAUAAUUCUUCUUGUGUAGCUUCAACUGUAUGGAUGCAUGGGCAAUCACCUUACUAUCCUGCAUUAAUACUGCCCCAAGUCCGACUCUUGAGGCAUCACAAUAGACAGUACAAGACCCUGAACCUGUAGGCAAUACCAAAACUGGGCUGUAGUCAAAGUUGUCUUGAGCUUUUGAAAGCUCGCCUCAUACUCCUCUGUCCACUGAAAUGGAGUACCCUUCUGGGUCAAUCUAGUCAUAGGGGCUGCAACCGAUGAAAACCCCUCCAGAAAACAACGUGAGUAGCCCGCCAAGCCAAGGAAACUACAAAUAUCUGUAGCUGAGGACGGCAUGGGCCAACUCUACAUAGCCUCUACCUUCUUCAGAUCUGCUCGAAAGCCCUCGCUCGAUACAACGUGGCCUAAGAAUGCCAUUGAAUCUAACCAAAAAUCUCAUUUUGAUUACUUCGCAUAUAACUUCUUCUCUCUCAGAGUCUGGAGCAUUGUCCCCAGAUGUUGCUCAUGAUCUUCCCGACUCCGAGAAUACACCAUAGUGUAGUCAAUAAGACAAUGAACAAAGGAUUGAUAUACGGCCAAAAUACACUAUGCAUCAAAUGCAUGAAUGCCGCUGGGGCAUUGGUCAGCCCAAAUGACAUAACAAGAAACUCGUAAUGACCAUACUAGUCCUGAAAGCAGUCUUCGGGAUAUCUGGCUCCCGAAUCUUCAAUUGCUGGCAACUAUAGCGCAAAUCAAUCUUAGAAUUACCCAUGCACCCUGAAGCUUGUCAAAUAGAUCAUCAAUAUGAGGCAAAGGAUAACGAUUUUUUACUGUAACAUUGUUCAACUGACGAUAUUGAUGCACAUACGCAUAGAACCAUCCUUUUUCUUCACAAACAAAAUAGAAGCACCUCAAGGUGAAACACUAGGUCGAAUAUAACCCUCAUCAAGCAAUUCCUGCAACUGAUCCUUCAAAUCCUUCAACUUAGGAGGAGCCAUACAAAAUGGAAGGAUAGAAAUGGCCUGAGUGCCCGGCACCAAAUCAAUGCCAAAAUCAAUGUCUCUAUCAGCUGGCAUGCCUAGAAGAUUAGCUGGAAAUACAUUGGGAUAACCUUGCAUCACUAGGACUGAAUCAACAGAAGGGGUAUUAACACUGACAUCUCUAAACAUAAGCUAAAUAUGGGGCACACCCCUUCUUAACAAUGCGCUGAGCUUUAAGAAAAGAGAUAACUUUGCUGGAAGUGUGAUCUAAAGUACCACUCCACUCAACACGCGGUACACCUAGCAUAGCCAGCAUCAUGAUUUUGGCGUGACAAUCAAGAAUUCCAAAAUGGGGCGACAACUAGUCCAUGCCCAAAAUAAUAUCAAAAUCCACCAUGCUAAGUAGCAAUAUGUCUGCUCUGGUCUCAAAACCACGAAUAGUAACCAAACAUGACCGAUAAAUACGGUCCACAAUAAGUGAAUCCCCCACAGGAGUAGAAACAUAAACAGGAAAACUCAAAGAAUCCGGAGAUACACCCAAAUGUGGAGCAAAAUAAGAUGACACAUAAGAGUAAGUAGAGGCUGGAUCAAAUAGAAUCGAUGCAUCUCUGUGGCAAACUAAUAUAAUACCUGUGAUGACAAAAUCGGAGGCAACAACCUCGGCACGAGCAUGAAGGGCAUAAUAUCUGGCAUGGCCUCCCCCUCGAGGGUGUCCUCUAUCUCCCCGGCCUCCACCUCUAGCUGGUUGAGUGGGUGGUGCGACAAUUGGAGCUGUAACCAUAGCCUGGGAACUCUGCGCGGCACACUGUGGCUGGGAAGUAUGUAAGGGUUCACUCCUCCCAAGUCUAGGGAAAUCCUUCACCACGUAGCGUGUGUCACCAAACUCAAAACAAGCUGUGGGGGNNN